GCAGUCCCGGCCGGCGGCGGCGCCUCUCCCGGCAUCAUCGUGCCGCUGAACCGCCACCACCACAAGCGGCCCUCCGCCCAGCCCAACUGCAGUGCGGGGUCGCGGCCAAAAUGCGUCACACGCUGGCGCCACCGCCUCGUGAAUUUUGCCUGUCAGCUAAAGCCUUCAUAUUAACUGCAUUUUCCUGGAAAACCAGACACGUGUUUUGGUAAACCUAGCAACGGAAUGCAAACUUAUUGAUAAGCAUGGAUGGACAAUCUCGCGAGAGGGGCAAUGAGAAACCGGUGACCAAGAAACUGACCAACUGUGUAUAACAUUCCAUUCACGUGAAUACUUCAUAUAAAAGUGAGAGAUCACAAGGAUCUCGUCCCUUUUGCCUUUGCUUUUUUCCCUUCUGCUUAUGGCUGACAUUAAGAGAGGACCUUGCUAGUCGUCCCUGCGAACUGAGGCCUAGUGAGAGACUGAAUCCAGCUCUGGUUGGCUGCAGAGUCCAAUCCAGGACUUUGGUUGCCGGCUCUGCAGUUGCUGAGACUUUCAAGAUUGGUUUUGUAUAUUUUGUAUUAUUUUCUCUAUUCUUAUUAGUAGCAUUAGUAAAACAUUGUUAAUUUUUCCAA